GGGCAAAUGGUCUAGGGGUAUGAUUUUCCCUUCGCAUAACACAUACGAUUGGGAAAGGUCCGGGGUUCAAUUCCCCGUUUGUCCA